AGUGAACGCUGGCGGUAUGCCUAACACAUGCAAGUCGAACGGCAGCACAGUAAGAGCUUGCUCUUACGGGUGGCGAGUGGCGGACGGGUGAGGAAUACAUCGGAAUCUACUUUUUCGUGGGGGAUAACGUAGGGAAACUUACGCUAAUACCGCAUACGACCUACGGGUGAAAGCAGGGGAUCUUCGGACCUUGCGCGAUUGAAUUAGCCGAUGUCGGAUUAGCUAGUUGGCGGGGUAAAGGCCCACCAAGGCGACGAUCCGUAGCUGGUCUGAGAGGAUGAUCGGCCACACUGGAACGGAGACACGGUCCAGACUCCUACGGGAGGGCGCAGUGGGGAAUAUUGGACAAUGGGCGCAAGCCUGAUCCAGCCAUACCGCGUGGGUGAAGAAGGCCUUCGGGUUGUAAAGCCCUUUUGUUGGGAAAGAAAAGCAGCAGGUUAAUACCCCGCUGUUCUGACGGUAACCAAAGAAUAAGCACCGGCUAACUUCGUG
rnacentral:rRNA from 1 species